rnacentral:rRNA from 1 species
UGGGGAAUUUUGGACAAUGGGCGAAAGCCUGAUCCAGCAAUGCCGCGUGUGUGAAGAAGGCCUUCGGGUUGUAAAGCACUUUUGUCCGGAAAGAAAUCCUUGGCUCUAAUACAGUCGGGGGAUGACGGUACCGGAAGAAUAAGCACCGGCUAACUACGUGCCAGCAGCCGCGGUAAUACGUAGGGUGCAAGCGUUAAUCGGAAUUACUGGGCGUAAAGCGUGCGCAGGCGGUUUGCUAAGACCGAUGUGAAAUCCCCGGGCUCAACCUGGGAACUGCAUUGGUGACUGGCAGGCUAGAGUAUGGCAGAGGGGGGUAGAAUUCCACGUGUAGCAGUGAAGUGCGUAGAGAUGUGGAGGAAUACCGAUGGCGAAGGCAGCCCCCUGGGCCAAUACUGGCGCUCAUGCACGAAAGCGUGGGGAGCAAACAGGAUUCAGAUACCCUGGUAGUCCACGCCCUAAACGAUGUCAACUAGUUGUUGGGGAUUCAUUUCCUUAGUAACGUAGCUAACGCGUGAAGUUGACCGCCUGGGGAGUACGGUCGCAAGAUUAAAACUU